UACAGAGGUGGCAAGCGUUGUUCGGAAUUACUGGGCGUAAAGGGCGCGUAGGCGGCCAUCUAAGUCAGACGUGAAAUCCCCCGGCUUAACCUGGGAACUGCGUCUGAUACUGGACGGCUUGAGUAUGGGAGAGGGAUGUAGAAUUCCAGGUGUAGCGGUGAAAUGCGUAGAUAUCUGGAGGAAUACCGGUGGCGAAGGCGGCAUCCUGGACCAUUACUGACACUCAUGCACGAAAGCGUGGGGAGCAAACAGG
rnacentral:rRNA from 1 species